GACGAACGCUGGCGGCGUGCCUAAUACAUGCAAGUAGAACGCACAGUUUAUACCGUAGCUUGCUACACCAUAGACUGUGAGUUGCGAACGGGUGAGUAACGCGUAGGUAACCUGCCUGGUAGCGGGGGAUAACUAUUGGAAACGAUAGCUAAUACCGCAUAAUAUUGAUUAUUGCAUGAUAAUUGAUUGAAAGAUGCUAUUGCAUCACUACCAGAUGGACCUGCGUUGUAUUAGCUAGUAGGUGAGGUAACGGCUCACCUAGGCGACGAUACAUAGCCGACCUGAGAAGGGGGACGGCCACACCUGGACUGGGACACGGCCCAGACUCCUACGGGAGGCAGCAGUAGGGAAUCUUCGGCAAUGGACGAAAGUCUGACCGAGCAACGCCGCGUGAGUGAAGAAGGUUUUCGGAUCGUAAAGCUCUGUUGUAAGAGAAGAACGGGUGUGAGAGUGGAAAGUUCACACUGUGACGGUAUCUUACCAGAAAGGGACGGCUAACUACGUG
rnacentral:rRNA from 1 species